rfam:Stegodyphus mimosarum contig80384, whole genome shotgun sequence.
GCCUUCGUGGUGGAGUGGUCAGCAUGCUGGGCGCGUAUUCCAGAGGUCGGUGGUUCGAGUCCCGGAGAAGGCG